rnacentral:snRNA from 1 species
UUGCUUUGGCAGCACAUAUACUAAAAUUGGAACGACACAGAGAAGAUUAGCAUGGCCCCUGCACAAGGAUGACACGCAAAUUUGUGAAGUGUUCCAUAUUUUU